rnacentral:tRNA from 1 species
AUGUGUAUAGCUCAGUUGGUAGAGCAGUGGCCUUUUAAGCCAAUGUCCUUGGUUCAAAUCCAGGUACACUCA